rnacentral:rRNA from 1 species
UGGAGCAAAUCCCUAAAAGCCAUCCCAGUUCGGAUCGCAGGCUGCAACCCGCCUGCGUGAAGUUGGAAUCGCUAGUAAUCGCGGAUCAGCAUGCCGCGGUGAAUACGUUCCCGGGCCUUGUACACACCGCCCGUCACACCAUGAGAGUCGGGAACACCCGAAGUCCGUAGCCUAACUGCAAAGGGGGCGCGGCCGAAGGUGGGUUCGAUAAUUGGGGUGAAGUCGUAACAAGGUAAC